rnacentral:lncRNA from 1 species
UUUGCUCAAUCAAAUUAAGUCAAUUAGUAAUCUAAUUACUAAUUAAUUCUUUAUUAAUAGUAGAAUCUCAGUCCUAGUGGGACUCUCUCACAAAGUCUUUGUUCAAAUAGGAUUUUUCACCAGAGUCACAAUCCAAUUGGACUCUUCAGUCAUCUGAUCUGAUCAAAUCUUCUAAUGCGUGUGACCCCAUAGGUUUGAACCUAAGCCGGUAGUAUAGAAAUAACUUUCUAUACCAAUCAAUAUUACCAUCUAGCAAUGGUUACCCAAUGAUCGGAUAGAUCGAAAUAUUGCAAAGCAACCUUCUAGAACCUACUAGUGUAUGGUUACAAUAUAAUUCAUCUCUUUAACCCAAAUGCUCAAGGUGACCUAGGGUUUAACUAUCAAUCCUAAUUUAGUCGACUACACUGUACUUCAAUCUUUUAAAUCCAUCUCAUGGAUUACCUUGGCUAAGGUUUUACUGAAUCAAAAUAUAUUGAUGCAUAUCUCCUACUAAUUCAGCGGGGUCAAUUCCAUCUUGACUCACACACUGACUUGAUAAGUACUUGAUUGCAUCCAAUAUUCUUCAUCACUAACAUAGAAACUCAGAUGAUUCAGUACAGAAGUACAGUGAGUUGCUUACAAGUCACUGUGGUGGUCUC